GACGAACGCUGGCGGCGUGCUUAACACAUGCAAGUCGGACGGAAAGGCCCUGCUUUUGUGGGGUGCUCGAGUGGCGAACGGGUGAGUAACACGUGAGUAACCUGCCCUUGACUUUGGGAUAACUUCAGGGAACUGGGGCUAAUACCGGAUAGGAGCUCCUGCUGCAUGGUGGGGGUUGGAAAGUUUCGGCGGUUGGGGACGGACUCGCGGCUUAUCAGCUUGUUGGUGGGGUAGUGGCUUACCAAGGCUUUGACGGGUAGCCGGCCUGAGAGGGUGACCGGCCACAUUGGGACUGAGAUACGGCCCAGACUCCUACGGGAGGCAGCAGUGGGGAAUAUUGCACAAUGGGCGGAAGCCUGAUGCAGCAACGCCGCGUGCGGGAUGACGGCCUUCGGGUUGUAAACCGCUUUCGCCUGUGACGAAGCGUGAGUGACGGUAAUGGGUAAAGAAGCACCGGCUAACUACGU
rnacentral:rRNA from 1 species